rnacentral:lncRNA from 1 species
GUUUUAUUUUAAUUUUUACUUUACUUUUUUUUACCUUGAUUUUUUUUUUUUUUUUUUUUUUUUUUUUUAAUUAAAACUUUAAAACUAAUAUGUAGGAAAAAACUCAAUUAUAUAUUGUUUUUAACAAAAUAACGUGAAAGGAAUGAUUUUUUAAAAUUUUUAUUAUUACAUGCGUGUUUUUUUUUUUUUUUUUUUUUUUUUUUUUUAUUUUACAAAACCACUAUAUUUUUUCCUAUGUAAAAAAGGUAAAAUGUACAUUGCAAGCCAUUUAUAUAUAUACGCAUAUGUUAUAUACUUACAUUAUCAAUAUAUCGUUUUUAUGUGUCACUUCAUAUGCUUCUAUUCACGCACCAAAUUGUUUUAUUGUUUUGGGAUUUCAGUUACUACUUUACUUUUUUGAUCAUUUUUGUUUUAUUUAUUUAUUUAUUUAUUUAUUUAUUUCUUUUUUUUUGUUACAUAAUUAAACUAUCUACAUAAAUAACUUUUAAAACAUUUCAAGUUCUUCUUUUUUUCUAUGUUAGUAAAGUAUAUAUACAUAUAUAAAUGUAUAAAUCCCAAUUAUGGAGACUAAAAAAAAAUUAAAUAUAUAUAUAUGUACUCAUACAAAUAUGUAUUUAUGCGUAUAUAUAUAGUACAAGAACAAAGCUAUUUAUAUUUAAAAAAAAAAAUGGAGGAAACGAAUAAGGAAAAGACUAAGGAAAAAAAAAUUAAGAAAGCACAAAAGCCUUUAGUUGUUAGUAAUAGAAAACCGUUCAAUGUAUUUGAAAAAAAUAAACAGUCGAAGCCUGCAGUGAGAGACCCUAGGUUUUCAGACUUUUCAGGCACUUUUAAUCCAAACUUUUUUAGAAACGCUUAUAAAUUUUUAUACGAAUCGAGAGAACAAGAAAAAGAUUUAAUCCGAGAACAAUUAAAAUCUAAGAAAUUAACAGAAGAAGAAAAAAAAGAGUUAAAAAAAAAAUAUAAUAAUUAUAAUAACACAAGUAUGAUACUUAAAAAAAAAGAAGAAGAAAGAAAAUUAAAGACACAACUUGUUAAACAAGAAAAACAAAAUAUAUUAACAAAAAAUAAAAUGCCAUAUUAUUAUAGUGAUAGAAAAAUAAAAAAAAUGGUACAGGAACAAAAUUCAAAUAAUAUUAGUAUUAAAAAAAUUAUCAAAAAAGAAAAAAAACAUUUACAAAAAGAAAAAAAGAAAAAUAUAAUACCACAAAGAAGAUAUUUUGAAAACAGCUAAAAAUUUUGUAAGAAUAACAUUUUACUUAUUUUCUUACGAUUUUUAAUGUUUGUAAUAAUAUCCUCAAUUUGUUUGUAUACAUAUUUAGUUGACGUA